AAAUUGGCGAGCUUGCGCGCUGUCUGUCCUUUUGGCUCUCGGCGGCGCGGUCUUCUUGGUCAAUUAGAGGAAGUAAAAGUCGUAACAAGGUUUCCGUAGGUGAACCUGCGGAAGGAUCAUUAUCGUACCAAAUGUGUGAGGCGUGCAAGGGCUGUCGCUGACUUCCAAAGUCGUGCACGCCGGAGCGUGUCCUCUCACAUAACAAUCCAUCUCACCCUUUGUGCACCACCGCGUGGGCACCCUUUGGGAUCUCACGAUCUCGGAGGGUGGCUCGCGUUUUCACACAAAAAACCAAACCCCCCUUUGAAAAGUGUAGAACGACCUCAUUUACGCAAUAAAUACAACUUUCAACAACGGAUCUCUUGGCUCUCGCAUCGAUGAARAACGCAGCGAAAUGCGAUACGUAAUGUGAAUUGCAGAAUUCAGUGAAUCAUCGAAUCUUUGAACGCACCUUGCGCCCCUUGGUAUUCCGAGGGGCACGCCCGUUUGAGCGUCGUGAAAAUCUCAACCUCCUUUUGUUUCUUCCGGGGACCAAAUGAGGCUUGGACUUUGGAGGUUUUUGCUGGUGUCUUUGAAGGCCAGCUCCUCUUAAAUGAAUUAGCGGGGUCCUCUUUGCCGAACCUUGACGCGUGAUAAGAUGCUUCCGUGCCUCGGCUUCUGGCUCUGUUGCCUUUGGGACCUGCUUCUAGCCGUCUUGACCUUGCGUCGAGACAAUGUUCGAGCUCGUCUCCCUUCUUGGGAAACCCUCUCGACCCCCACGAACCCUUGGCCUCAAAUCGGGUGAGACUACCCGCUGAACUUAAGCAUAUCAUAA
rnacentral:rRNA from 1 species